rnacentral:rRNA from 1 species
GACGAACGCUGGCGGCGUGCUUAACACAUGCAAGUCGAACGGUAAGGCCCUUCGGGGUACACGAGUGGCGAACGGGGGAGUAACACGUGAGUAAUGUGCCCUUUACUCUGGGAUAACAGCCGGAAACGGUUGCUAAUACCGGAUAUACACAUGUGCCUGCAUUGUUAUUUGUGGAAAGCUUUUUCGGUCUUGGAUCCACUCGCGGCCUAGCAGCUUGUUGGUGGGGUAAUGUCCUAACAAGGCUUGGACGGGUAGCCGGCCUGAGAGGGCGACCGGCCACAGUGGGACUGAGAUACGGGCCGGACUCAAACGGGAGGAAGCAGUGGGGAAUUUUGCACACUGGGCGGAAGCAGGAUGCAGCAACGCCGCGUGCGGGAUGACGGCCUUCGGGGUGUAAACCGCUUUCAGUAGGGAAGAAGAGAAAGUGACGGUACCUAAAGAAGAAGCACCGGCCAACUACGUG